AUCUAUAGCUAUACCACCCUGAACUUGCCUGAUCUUGUCUGGUCUCAGAAGCAGAGCAUGGAUGGGCUUAAUUAGUACUUGGAAGGAAGAACUACAACUGAAUAUGUCAACUGUAAUUA
rnacentral:rRNA from 1 species